UACGGAGGGGGCUAGCGUUGUUCGGAAUUACUGGGCGUAAAGCGCACGUAGGCGGCUUUGUAAGUUAGAGGUGAAAGCCCGGAGCUCAACUUCGGAAUUGCCUUUAAGACUGCAUCGCUUGAAUCAUGGAGAGGUCAGUGGAAUUCCGAGUGUAGAGGUGAAAUUCGUAGAUAUUCGGAAGAACACCAGUGGCGAAGGCGACAUACUGGAUCAUUACUGACGCUGAGGCUCGAAAGCGUGGGGAGCAAACAGG
rnacentral:rRNA from 1 species